rnacentral:rRNA from 1 species
AGCGAACGCUGGCGGCGUGCCUAACACAUGCAAGUCGAACGUGAAAGGGAGCAAUCCCAAGUAAAGUGGCGUACGGGUGAGUAACACGUAGGUAAUCUACCCCAGAAUCUGGAAUAACCGGCCGAAAGGAUGGCUAAUACUGGAUAGAGCGACGGAAUCAGUAAUUGGGUUUUUCGGGAAAGGGAGACUGUAAAAAGGCCUUCGUUCUGGGAUGAGCCUGCGUCCCAUCAGCUAGUUGGUGAGGUAAAAGCUUACCAAGGCAAUGACGGGUAGCUGGUCUGAGAGGACGAUCAGCCACACUGGAACUGAAACACGGUCCAGACUCCUACGGGAGGCAGCAGUGGGGAAUCGUGCGCAAUGGACGAAAGUCUGACGCAGCAACGCCGCGUGGGUGAAGAAGGCCUUCGGGUUGUAAAGCUCUGUCGAGUGGGACGAAAAUGCUUGGAGUUCACAGCUCCAGGAACUGACGGUACCACUAAAGGAAGCACCGGCUAACUCCGUG